AUUGAACGCUGGCGGCAGGCCUAACACAUGCAAGUCGAGCGGAUGAAGGGAGCUUGCUCCUGGAUUCAGCGGCGGACGGGUGAGUAAUGCCUAGGAAUCUGCCUGGUAGUGGGGGAUAACGUCCGGAAACGGGCGCUAAUACCGCAUACGUCCUGAGGGAGAAAGAGGGGGAGCUUCGGACCUCACGCUAUCAGGUGAGUUUAGGUCGGGUUAGCUAGUUGGUGGGGUAAAGGCCUACCAAGGCGACGAUCCGUAACUGGCCUGAUAGGAUGAUCAGUCACAUUGGAACUGAGACACGGUCCAGACUCCUACGGGAGGCAGCAGUGGGGAAUAUUGGGCAAUGGGCGAAAGCCUGGUCCAGCCAUGCCGAGUGUGUGAAGAAGGUCUUCGGAUUGUAAAGCACUUUAAGUUGGGGGGAAGGGCAGUAGGUUAAUACCUUGCUGUUUUGACGUUACCAACAGAAUAAGCACCGGCUAACUUCGUG
rnacentral:rRNA from 1 species